rnacentral:rRNA from 1 species
GUUUGAUGGCGACCGGCGCACGGGUGAGUAACACGUAUCCAACCUGCCGAUGACUCGGGGAUAGCCUUUCGAAAGAAAGAUUAAUACCCGAUGGCAUAGUUCUUCCGCAUGGUGGAACUAUUAAAGAAUUUCGGUCAUCGAUGGGGAUGCGUUCCAUUAGGUUGUUGGCGGGGUAACGGCCCACCAAGCCUUCGAUGGAUAGGGGUUCUGAGAGGAAGGUCCCCCACAUUGGAACUGAGACACGGUCCAAACUCCUACGGGAGGCAGCAGUGAGGAAUAUUGGUCAAUGGACGAGAGUCUGAACCAGCCAAGUAGCGUGAAGGAUGACUGCCCUAUGGGUUGUAAACUUCUUUUAUACGGGAAUAAAGUGAGGCACGUGUGCCUUUUUGUAUGUACCGUAUGAAUAAGGAUCGGCUAACUCCGUGCCAGCAGCCGCGGUAAUACGGAGGAUCCGAGCGUUAUCCGGAUUUAUUGGGUUUAAAGGGAGCGUAGGCGGACGCUUAAGUCAGUUGUGAAAGUUUGCGGCUCAACCGUAAAAUUGCAGUUGAUACUGGGUGUCUUGAGUACAGUAGAGGCAGGCGGAAUUCGUGGUGUAGCGGUGAAAUGCUUAGAUAUCACGAAGAACUCCGAUUGCGAAGGCAGCCUGCUGGACUGUAACUGACGCUGAUGCUCGAAAGUGUGGGUAUCAAACAGGAUUAGAUACCCUGGUAGUCCACACAGUAAACGAUGAAUACUCGCUGUUUGCGAUAUACAGUAAGCGGCCAAGCGAAAGCGUUAAGUAUUCCACCUGGGGAGUA